UGCAAGUCGAACGGUGAAGCGAGAGCUUGCUCUCGUGGAUCAGUGGCGAACGGGUGAGUAACACGUGAGUAACCUGCCCCAGACUCUGGGAUAAGCCUUGGAAACGAGGUCUAAUACCGGAUACGAGACGAGAUCGCAUGGUCAUCGUCUGGAAAGAAUUUCGGUCUGGGAUGGACUCGCGGCCUAUCAGCUUGUUGGUGAGGUAAUGGCUCACCAAGGCGACGACGGGUAGCCGGCCUGAGAGGGCGACCGGCCACACUGGAACUGAGACACGGUCCAGACUCCUACGGGAGGCAGCAGUGGGGAAUAUUGCACAAUGGGCGCAAGCCUGAUGCAGCGACGCCGCGUGGGGGAUGAAGGCCUUCGGGUUGUAAACCCCUUUCAGCAGGGAAGAAGCGAAAGUGACGGUACCUGCAGAAGAAGCGCCGGCUAACUACGUGCCAGCAGCCGCGGUAAUACGUAGGGCGCAAGCGUUGUCCGGAAUUAUUGGGCGUAAAGAGCUCGUAGGCGGUCUGUCGCGUCUGCUGUGAAAACCCGAGGCUCAACCUCGGGCCUGCAGUGGGUACGGGCAGACUAGAGUGUGGUAGGGGAGACUGGAAUUCCUGGUGUAGCGGUGGAAUGCGCAGAUAUCAGGAGGAACACCAAUGGCGAAGGCAGGUCUCUGGGCCACUACUGACGCUGAGGAGCGAAAGCAUGGGGAGCGAACAGGAUUAGAUACCCUGGUAGUCCAUGCCGUAAACGGUGGGCACUAGAUGUGGGGCUCUUUCCAUGAGUUCCGCGUCGCAGCUAACGCAUUAAGUGCCCCGCCUGGGGAGUACGGCCGCAAGGCUAAAACUCAAAGGAAUUGACGGGGGCCCGCACAAGCGGCGGAGCAUGCGGAUUAAUUCGAUGCAACGCGAAGAACCUUACCAAGGCUUGACAUAUACCCUUUAUCCCUAGAGAUAGGGAGUCCUUCGGGGGGGUAUACAGGUGGUGCAUGGUUGUCGUCAGCUCGUGUCGUGA
rnacentral:rRNA from 1 species